CACACAGCACACCUACCCCCCAAGCACAGCACCCUUACCCCCCACACAGCACACCUACCCCCCAAGCAUAGCACCCCUAACCGCCACACAACACAGCACCCCUAACCCCUACCCCACCUCCCCUACCCACCACACACACAGCACCCCCCACACACAGUACCCCUCAGACACACACACAGCACUCCACACCCUUACACACAAACACUUAAACUGCACCCCUCAAUGCAGUAUGUAUGUGUGUAUUCAGCAGUCUGUGUGUGUGUGUAUGUAUUAAGCAGACUGUGUGUACUCAGCAGUCUGUGUGUGUGUGUAUAUUCAGCAGUCUCUUUGUGUGUGUACUCAGCAGUGUGUGUGAUUCAGCAGUCUGUGUGUACGUGUGUAUGUACUCAGCAGUCUGUGUGUGUGUGUGUGUACUAAGCAUUGUAUGUAUUCAGCAGACUGUGUGUGUGUAUUCAGCAGUGUAUGUAUUCAGCAGACUGUGUGUGUGUGUGUGUGUGUGUGUGUGUAUGUAUUCAGCAGACUGUGUGUACUUAGCAG